GAUCUCACCGCGGGAAUAUCCAUUUAAAAAAUGUCAACGACGUACUUUCAGUUAACAAGUUAUCUAAUUAAUAAUUAAUAAACAUUGUUACUUUGUAUCGAAAGCUCCUUCCACAAGAAGUGCAAGAGUAAGGCAUCACUCCAGUGUGGAUCCUCCUGUGCACUAAGUACGACACACGUUGCCUGAAGCAUUUUC